rnacentral:rRNA from 1 species
UACAGAGGGUGCAAGCGUUAAUCGGAAUUACUGGGCGUAAAGCGUGCGUAGACGGUUAUGUAAGUCAGGUGUGAAAGCCCCGGGCUCAACCUGGGAAUGCCAUUUGAGACUGCAUAGCUAGGGUACGGAAGAGGGAAGCGGAAUUUCAGGUGUAGCGGUGAAAUGCGUAGAUAUCUGAAGGAACACCAGUGGCGAAAAGCGGCUUCCUGGUCCAGUACCGACGUCAGGCACGAAAGCGUGGGGAGCAAACAGGA